UAUAAAUAAAAAAGCCUCAAUGUGCUUAAAAAUACCGGUAUUUUUAAGCACAUUGAGGCUUUUUUAUUUAUA